UUCCCGGGCCUUGUACACACCGCCCGUCACACCACGAAAGUCGGCAAUACCCGAAGCCGGUGGCCUAACCCGCAAGGGAGGGAGCCGUCGAAGGUAGGGUCGAUGAUUGGGGUG
rnacentral:rRNA from 1 species